rnacentral:rRNA from 1 species
UACAGAGGUCCCAAGCGUUGUUCGGAUUCAUUGGGCGUAAAGGGUGCGUAGGCGGCGCGGUAAGUCGGGUGUGAAAUCUCGGGGCUUAACUCCGAAACUGCAUUCGAUACUGCCGUGCUUGAGGACUGGAGAGGAGACUGGAAUUUACGGUGUAGCGGUGAAAUGCGUAGAUAUCGUAAGGAAGACCAGUGGCGAAGCGGGUCUCUGGACAGUUCCUGACGCUGAGGCACGAAGGCCAGGGGGAGCAAAACGGG